rnacentral:rRNA from 1 species
UUCCAGACUCCUACGGGAGGCAGCAGUGGGGAAUAUUGGACAAUGGGGGGAACCCUGAUCCAGCGACGCCGCGUGAGUGAAGAAGUAUUUCGGUAUGUAAAGCUCUAUCAGCAGGGAAGAAAGAAAUGACGGUACCUGACUAAGAAGCCCCGGCUAACUACGUGCCAGCAGCCGCGGUAAUACGUAGGGGGCAAGCGUUAUCCGGAUUUACUGGGUGUAAAGGGCGUGCAGCCGGGCUGACAAGUCAGAUGUGAAAUCCCGCGGCUCAACCGCGGAACUGCAUUUGAAACUGUCAGUCUUGAGUACCGGAGAGGUCAUCGGAAUUCCUUGUGUAGCGGUGAAAUGCGUAGAUAUAAGGAAGAACACCAGUGGCGAAGGCGGAUGACUGGACGGCAACUGACGUUGAGGCUCGAAAGCGUGGGGAGCAAACAGGAUUAGAUACCCCAGUA